rnacentral:rRNA from 1 species
GAUUGAACGCUGGCGGUAUGCUUAACACAUGCAAGUCGAACGGAAACGAUACUAGCUUGCUAGUAGGCGUCGAGUGGCGGACGGGUGAGUAACGCGUAGGAAUCUACCUGAUAGUGGGGGAUAGCCCGAAGAAAUUCGGAUUAAUACCGCAUAAUCUAUUCGUAGUAAAGUGGGGGACUUUCGAGCCUCACGCUAUCAGAUGAGCCUGCGUAAGAUUAGCUAGUUGGUAGGGUAAAAGCCUACCAAGGCGACGAUCUUUAGCUGGUCUGAGAGGAUGAUCAGCCACAUCGGGACUGAGACACGGCCCGAACUCCUACGGGAGGCAGCAGUGGGGAAUAUUGGACAAUGGGGGCAACCCUGAUCCAGCAAUACCGCGUGUGUGAAGAAGGCCUGAGGGUUGUAAAGCACUUUCAAUUGUGAAGAAAAGCUAGUGGUUAAUAGCCAUUAGCCUUGACGUUAACUUUAGAAGAAGCACCGGCUAACUCCGUGCCAGCAGCCGCGGUAAUACGGAGGGUGCAAGCGUUAAUCGGAAUUACUGGGCGUAAAGCGUGCGUAGGCGGUUUAUUAAGUCAGAUGUGAAAGCCCCGGGCUUAACCUGGGAACUGCAUUUGAAACUGGUCAACUAGAGUAUGGUAGAGGAAAGUGGAAUUUCUGGUGUAGCGGUGAAAUGCGUAGAUAUCAGAAGGGAACAUCAAUGGCGAAGGCAACUUUCUGGACCAAUACUGACGCUGAGGUACGAAAGCGUGGGUAGCAAACAGGAUUAGAUACCCUGGUAGUCCACGCCGUAAACGAUGAUAACUAGCCGUUGGGGGGAUUUACCCCUUAGUGGCGAAGCUAACGCGUUAAGUUAUCCGCCUGGGGAGUACGGCCGCAAGGUUAAAACUCAAAGGAAUUGACGGGGACCCGCACAAGCGGUGGAGCAUGUGGUUUAAUUCGAUGCAACGCGAAGAACCUUACCUGGUCUUGACAUCCUGAGAACUUUCUAGAAAUAGAUUGGUGCCUUCGGGAACUCAGUGACAGGUGCUGCAUGGCUGUCGUCAGCUCGCGUCGUGAGAUGUUGGGUUCAGUCCCGUAACGAGCGCAACCCCUAUCCUUAUUUGCCAGCACAUCAUGGUGGGAACUCUAAGGAGACUGCCGGUGACAAACCGGAGGAAGGUGGGGACGACGUCAAGUCAUCAUGGCCCUUAUGACCAGGGCUACACACGUGCUACAAUGGAGCGUACAGAGGGUUGCUAAGCCGCGAGGUGGAGCCAAUCCCAGAAAACGUUUCGUAGUCCGGAUCGAAGUCUGCAACUCGACUUCGUGAAGUCGGAAUCGCUAGUAAUCGCGAAUCAGCAUGUCGCGGUGAAUACGUUCCCGGGCCUUGUACUCACC